rnacentral:pre_miRNA from 1 species
AGAGGAAUAGCUGGGUCAAAUGGUGGUUCCAUGCCCAGAUUUCCAAGGAAUCUCCAUACUGCUUUCCAUAUUGGUUGCACCAAUUUGCAGUCCCACCAGCAAU